GUCAUUUUGAACAGGAUGGGAUAUGCAACUCUUUCCCAAAGCGUCCCUGGCAGACACACACACACCCGUAGCCCAGGGGAAGGCAAGGCACAAAGGCAAGCUUUUAUUUUCCCCGAAAGGAGUUGUAUUUUGAACAGGAUGGGAUAUGCAACUCUUUCCCAAAGCGUUCCUGGCAGACACACACACACCCGUAGCCCAGGGGAAGGCAAGGCACAAAGGCAAGCUUUUAUUUUCCCGAAAGGAGUUGUAUUUUGAACAGGAUGGGAUAUGCAACUCUUUCCCAAAGCGUCCCUGGCAGACACACACACACCCGUAGCCCAGGGGAAGGCAAGGCACAAAGGCAAGCUUUUAUUUUCCCCGAAGGAGUUGUAUUUUGAACAGGAAAAACACCCACAGGACAGCCCUUUGCAAGUUUGCAACAACAAAAGAAAUAGAAAGACCUAAGACCCACACCACCAAACUCAGCCACAGACCACCCCACCUUUUCUCCUGUCCUGGUCUUCACACAGCCAUGCUGUGACGCAGCAAUGUUUCCUGCCUGCCUGCACCAAUCUACCCUUCCACCCUCUCCAAAAGUCCCAGUGCGACUGAGCCACGAGGCGUGUGCACGCUGUUUUCAUUAAGCACGUCCUACCAGCCCCUCCCCCUGGUUAAACGUGCUCUCUGAUUGGCUACAAGGUGCAAACAACACACUAGAUUGCCCCAGUGGACUUAAAAAAGUUUGGAUGAUUUGACAAAGCAUUUUUUAAAAACGAAAAAAAAGGCGCCAUUACGGAAAACGGCCAAUCGCGGUUCGAAACCGCGAUAUCCAGGCGUGUGGACAGCCAAGAUUCAAUAUUGCUUCAAAAAAUCCGAAAAUAACGAAUCAAUAACGGUAAACGGGGAAAACGAAUUAUUUGAGCAAGCCUAGAACGCAGCCCCAGGAGAAUAGACACUUCCUUUCUCAGGAAGUGAACUCUUGUCCUUCAGAAGUGCCACGCCAGCGUGGACCAUUGUAAUGGGUGUAGCAAAGCAGGGGAAAUCCAGUCAUGAAUCAAUCAGGGCCAGCUAACACCUCCCAACAAAGUAUUCCCAUCAUCAAAGUCUGGUAAAUCCUCUGUUUUCUCACGGCCACAGACGGUAGAAGCACAUACCAUAUUGCAAAGAACACCACUCUGAAAACAGGGGAAUUCCAGACAGGAAACAAUCAGGGCCAGCUAACACCUCCCAAUAAAAAAUUCACUCAGAGAGGAAACAGCCAGGCUGUAAAUCUGCAAGGCCAUUACAUCCUUAUCAUUUUUCCUAAUUGCAGCAUUCAUACUUGCCUCUAACAGACAAAAAAAAAAAAAACAACAAUCAGAAAUAUUGUAUAUUCACAACCUUUAAGAAAUAAUAUCCCCUGAUGCACAACAUGUGAAAGCGCUGAGCUGCUGAAAUUUUGGACCGAAAGGCCGCAGCAGGUUUGAAUUGGGGGACCAGAGUGAGCCCUCACUGUUAGCCCCAGCUUCUGCCAACCCAGAAGUUCAAAAACAUGCAAAUGUGAGUGCAUCAAUAGGUACUGCUCCAGCGGGAAGGUAACGCCGCUCCAUGCAGUCAUCCCACAUGACCUUGGAGGAGUCUACGGACAACGCUGGCUCUUUGGCUUAGAAAUGGAGAUGAGCACCAAACCCCAGAAUCAGACAUGACUGGACUUAAUGUCAGGGGGAAAACAUUUACCCUUUAGGGUUGUUAUAUGUCUUUCGGGCUGUGUGGCCAUGUUCCAGAAGUAUUCUCUCCUGACGUUUCACCCACAUCUAUGGCAGGCAUCCUCAGAGGUUGUGAGGUAUCCAGAGGUUGUGAGAUCGCCCAAUUCUCCCUUAGUUCCUGGACGCGGCCGCAGAUCACCCUGGCUGUAUGUGGAUUUGGGUUAGAUUCUCACUGUUAGAAAUGGUGAUUUCCUCUUUUGCUAUUGAUCAAGGUCUAGCCUUUUGAAAUGCAACAACACUCAGUAUUUAAAGGGUUAAAGUCUUAAGAGAGCACAGCAGUGAUAGGGUUAAUGUUUCAAUGAGCUAAAACCUCCUGUGUAUUAUCCACCUAUCGUAACUUGUUUAGACUGUUGUUCUUAGGGAUCACCUCACCUUUUCUUGCCACCUCCUUUUUGAUCUUGCAUUACCCCAAAAGUAAAAGUUAAUCCUCCUUCUAUUCUACAUUAGCUUGAUCUAGCACUUUUAGAAAGCUCACCUAUCUCUAAUGGAGUUCCUAAAAUAAAAGUUUAGUCUAUUUCCCACAGCCAUUGGUGUCGAUGAUCUUCAAUCAUACUUUGUAACUGCUGUACAUAUGCACUCUCUAUCACAACUAAUGACAUUUUACUGUUUCAUCUCCUUUCCGAAAUGGGUUGAGGUAUCAAAAGUGUGGAACUUUUUUGGGGGGAUCACCAGAUGCCACUAUGUGUUUGGGGGGGGGGGGGAGAAGGGGAUGAUAGAUGUAAAUGUAGAUGAACUCAAUGGUUUACUGUCUGAUCCCAUUACAAGCUGAGCUCAAACACGACAGAAUAUCUGUUGCAACUAACAACAACAACAACAACAACAACAACAUCAACAACAACAACUUUAUUUUUAUACCCCGCCUCCAUCUCCCCAAAGGGACUCGAGGCAGAUAACAUGGAGCCACGCCCAGGGAAUCACACCAAAACAGGAUAAAAUAAAUACAUCAUACGAAACAGACAAAAUAAUACACAAUUAUCCACAGUGACAUAAUAAAAUAGUGAAAAACAAGGAUGAAUAUAGUAAAACAUAAUUAAGAGGCAGAACAAGGGUUAAACUUUUAGAAUGUUUUUAUGAAUGUUGAUGUAAGUUAAUAUUUUUAGUCUGAUUUAUAGUGUAUUGUAUAAUUUUUAUAUGUGUGUUUAUUGUAAGCCGCCCUGAGUUCCUCCUCGGCUGAGAAGGGCGGGAUAUAAAUGUUGUAAUAAAUAAUAAAAUAAAUUAAACAAGGGCAAGCUGGGCCAGUAUUCAAAGUUGGUCAUGUUGGGUCCAUAUCCAUCAUCAGUUGAGUUUAUAGUGCUCUCUUGAUGUGGGUGAAUUAUAACUCCCAACUUUCAGGGUCAGUUUCCUCCAAAGACUGCUAGUACUUGAUCAUUUUGGGUCUGUGUACCAAGUUUGGUCAAGAUACAUUGUUGGUUGGAGUCACAGGGCACUCUGGUUGUGGUGUUUACAAUAACUCCCAAAAUCCAUGGUCAACUCCUCCCCCCAAAAAAAACCAGUGACCAGUGGGGCUUGUCCCAUCACCAGUUGCCCCAAUGACUACUGGAUUAUUAUUGGCUGCUGGGUUCAUCAUGUCCACCACUUCCACUUAGGUUUUUUUUUAAGGAAUUCUGCCCACGAAACCAGACAGCCACAGAUACCACAGGCUGCUGGGUUCAUAAUGUCCAUCACAUCCACUUAGGGUUUUUUUUUUUUUUAGGAAUUUUGCCCAUGAAACCAGACAGCCACAAAUACCACAGGGAAUUAAGACUUUUACAUUGUCUAGCUAGAUCGUUGCCUGACUUGCCAGACUAGAGACAAACUGAUAUUUUUCUAACCGCCUCAGAUCAUCCUUGUUUGGAUCAGCAAGUUAUGCACCAUCGUUACCUGCAAUUUCACCUUAUGCUCUGUCUGUUCCUAUGAUAAUUACAGUUUGUUUGAUAAUGUAAUGCAAAUACUUCAUAAAAUCCUACCUCAUGAUUCUGAACUGAGACACUACUUCACUGGAGGUACAAUGCAGCCUCCUAAAAUUGUUGGAGGGUCAAAGUAAAUAGACAUUCUGUUCUAUCCAGAAACUAUUGCUUUCAGCAAUUUCACCAUAUUCCUUAAUCAAAAGGGAAGACAUGUAUGCAUUAGACAAACUGAGUCACAGUCACCCACAGUCAUCCAUGACUAUCUUCUUCCAUUAAUGCUGCUGUAUGCCCCCCUUUUCCCCUUGCCUUAGCACUCUCUAGCACUCCCAUUAACUUGUGAGAUCCCUAAGCAAAUGGUUCUGGAUAGGUCUUUAUAUAUAGUUGACCUUAUGUUCAAGACCAACUAAAAUCAAUCCAUGUACAUUUUGCUUCCAGAACAGUAUAUAUCUUUCACCACCAUCAGAGGGGGAAUUGCUGCAAUAUGGCUGCUACCACACUAAUGCCAGAAAGCCAUUGUCCUCCCACCUACGCAACCACACAAUUAGAGCCAGGGGUGUAGUGACUUGUAUACAGUAAUUUCAAAGAUGGGAUCAGGUUGGCAUGGGAAGUAACUCCUUUACCAGCCAGAUCUGCAACACCAGGUCGCCAAAUUAACAUGAAAGCACUGGAAGAUCCAGGCUACGUCUUUUGUAAGGGCAAUCAUGAAAAUUAUUCAUUGCUUGGUUUUGGAAUUUAAGAAUGGUCUCAUCAGAAAAUGCAUAAGGAUGUGGGUGAACUUCAACUUCCAACAUUGUGGCUCAAUUCUACCCAAACCCCACCAGUAUUCAAAGUUGGUCAUGUUGAGUGUGAGUCAGUAUUCAGUUGUUGAUGUUGGGUCCAGAUUCAUCAUCAGUUGAAUUCACAGUGCUCUCUUGAUGUGGGCAAACUAUAACUCCCAACCUUCAAGGCCAAUUUCCUCCAAAGCCUGCCAGUACUUGAUCAUGUUGCAUCCGUGUGCCAAGUUUGGUCAAGAUAUGUUGCUGGUUGGAGUCACAGGGCUCUCUGGAUGUGGUGUGAACUAUAAGUCCUAAAGUCCAGGGUCAACUCCUCCUCCCCCAAAAAUAAAUAAAUAAAUCUGUGACCAGUAUUUUAUAUUGGCCACGGGUGGUCUGUGUGCCAUGUUUGGUCUGUAUUUGCCAUCAGUGGGAGUUACAGUGCUCUCUGGAAGUGGAAGCCAUCUCAGAAAUUGCACACAAACAUAGGUAAAGGUAAAGGUUUUCCCCUGACGUUAAGUCCAGUCGUGACCGACUCUGGAGGUUGGUGCUCAUCUCCAUUUCUAAGCCGAAGAGACGGCAUUGUCCGUAGACACCUCCAAGGUCAUGUGGCCAGCAUGACUGCAUGGAGCGCCGUUACCUUCCCACCGGAGCGGUACCUAUUGAUCUACUCACAUUUGCAUGUUUUCGAACUGCUAGGUUGGCAGGAGCUGGGGUUAACAGCGGGCGCUCAUUCCGCUCCCGGGAUUUGAACCUGGCACCUUUUGGUCCGCAAGUUCAGCAGCUCAGCGCUUUAACGCACUGUGCCACCAGGGGCCCCACAUGUGUGUA
ensembl:lncRNA